rnacentral:rRNA from 1 species
UACGUAGGGGGCAAGCGUUGUCCGGAUUUAUUGGGCGUAAAGAGCGUGUAGGCGGCCAGGCAGGUCCGUUGUGAAAACUCGAGGCUCAACCUCGAGACGUCGGCGGAAACCCUCUGGCUAGAGUCCGGAAGAGGAGAGUGGAAUUCCUGGUGUAGCGGUGAAAUGCGCAGAUAUCAGGAAGAACACCCGUGGCGAAGGCGGCUCUCUGGGACGGUACUGACGCUGAGACGCGAAAGCGUGGGGAGCGAACAGG